GAUCUAUACCUUCUCCCACAGCCGUGUGGUAGAGCUGCAAAGAGAGGUUCUUCUUUCACAUUCACAUUAUACUCUUCUUUGGUUCUUCACAUCUUCUCAUACAGCUACACCAGCUUGAAGGGUUGCUAGGACAUAGAGAAGUGAUGCAUCAAAUCUUGGGUUUUCCCUUCAUGCCCUCUGUUCUGUGCCUAAAGUAUUGCUGAAUCACGAAUAUGAUGAAUGAGUAAGAAGUGAUAAAUUCAAAAAUUCUAUUCGAUUUUGGAUCCUGCCGCGUAGUAAUCUCCUAUUAAUCGGUGGCUUCUGAUAACUGCAAAAUAAGGUGGGCAUUGAAUUGUUUAACACAUAUGCAUAGAUGCAUAACAUAAUGCGUGUGAGAUUCAAGUUAUGCAAAAAUCCAGGUUGAAUGCGGAAAUUACUUGAACACAGCUGAUUAUUUGCAUUAGUAGAGAACAAUUUGUACUAAUCAUGACAGAAGUUUUAGUUCACCGUGGUCGUGGGGGAAGCUUGCAUCUAAGAUGCAGAAGCGGGAUGAGGCUCUCGAAGAGCUGAAUCGGUUGAGAAAUAUUAUUGAAUCAAAGCUUUGUGUUUCAUGCUUCUAAGUUGUUUGUAUUUGUAUAUACCAACAUGCUGACAUAUAUUCUGCUAUUUUGAUACUAUUUUUUGUUAUAGCUUACUGUAGCGUCUUGGCAAUCCUGAACUCACUGAAUUACUGAGGCAGUUGGCACUUAUUUGCGAGUCACUUAGGAUUUGCUAUUGUUUUAAUGUGGGAAGGUUUUAUAUAGAUUGUUAGUUUGCACUGUGUAUUAUAUGUUGGACCUUUAUUACAGUUUACCAUUUUCCCGUCAAAGCGAAAGGACUGAGCUUGCACCACUAAUUUUGUUCACGACAUUACUGACGCCUGAUGCCGCAUUUCUAUGAGUACUACUUAUUAUGUUUAUAUUAUAUCAUGUUCCAGCUCCUUCGUUGUGAGACAGAACCAUGACAAGAAAUUAUUAGAGGUCGUCAAUAAAUAGACAAUCCAGCUACACUAAUGAAUGUCCAGCCAGAUAGACACACUAGGCAGGGAUGAAACACAUUCUUUUAUGUGCUGCUCGGGAUCAAUACUUUUCUGUUUCUGGUGAUCGUGCUAGACAAUUUGAUAGUUUGGUGAUCAUGCUAGACUAUUUGAUAGUGAGAGCACUCAGAUCAGGGAAAGUAUGACGCAAAGCACAGGUGUCUCCAUCUCCAUCUUUAGAAUGUCCGUGUAUCUGCACAAGCAACAUAUGCUAGAAUAUAGCGGCCCACUUAAUCCGGAUUGAGUUUUGACUUUAAUGGCCAGAAAGGUUUGGUUAUGUCAACAAAUAAGGGGUGAGGUGGUCGUUUUCGAUUGUUUGAUCUGAAUACGAAGUCAAUUUUCUUUUUCCACCUUCUUUUCGGUGCAUAGAGUCUAAUCUGAACGAUAGGUGUUUUAGUUCGUAUUUGAAAUUCUAAUUCGCACAUUGCGUUUCGAUGUUAUGAUGAACAACGCAGAUAAAGUCACCGGUACUGGGUCGAGGAUAAAGAUAUUUCAUGGCUACUACAAAGAUAUAAAAGAUAGUUGCAACAUCUUCCAGCAAUUUUUUUGAGCUGAAGAGAAAUUACAAGCAAAGAGAAGAUAACGAAUUGUAAAAAGACGAGAAAAACUAUCGACACCGAGCUAACAGAACUUGAAUAUGAUCAAAAUCCUGAUUAUGAACUGAAUUACGUCAUUCUUUUAAGUUACUCAUACUGGUGUUGUUGAUCUGAGGCCAGAAAAUGCAAUGAAGAUAUCGACUGAGAACAACAAGUAUUUUGCAGAAUUAUGGAAGCUCGAUGCAAAGGGGUUCCAUGGAGAACACAAUCUUUGGCUGGCAAACCUGCUGGAAUGUUCUACAGUACUGGGUCUCAAGGUGGUGGUCAGGAAAGAACUUAGAAAUGUAGGAGGAAAAGUUGAUCAUCAUAGAGCAAUGCAUUAGCUGAUAUAUAAUUUAACAGUGUUUGUAUGAAAGAUUCUACGAGUUUGUAUGAAAGGUCCAUAAAAAAACACGAGUUCGUUCAGGAUUUGAAAGAGAAUUAAGGUGUCAAUGACAACGAAUUCAGGUAAUGUUGCUGCUUGCUUUUACGCCGAUUAGUAAAUCCUUGCAAGACUACCGCAGUGAGCAUGUCAGAAUUACUCGAGGAACUACAUGCAUCCACAUGAGUUUGAAGCUCACAGCUGCUAAUUAAGGUAUUGAUGCACCGUUGAUUUACUAUUAACUAAGUGUAGAAAGAUAAUCCUACAUGGUUAGAGAUUCAGACGUGAUUGAGUAUAACCCGUACGACGAACAAAUCUCUCAAAAAUAUUAAAUCCAUUCUUAGCACUCACUCGCCUUCUGUAGUUCGACUUUGGAGACCUGCAGCUGAGUGAAACCCCAUAUAUCGAUGAUGGAAAUCGGGGCCUCCCGAACAAAAAGUGGACGUCUACAUCAUCUAGCAGAAUGUUUCAUCCAAUACAAACUUCGUCAAUUCUUAUUUUUUCUCAGAGGUAUUUUUCGUGUUUAUGUCAUCCUUUCUUUGCUUUGGUGAGCCUCUUUUUUCUUGGAAUUUAGAUUUCAGUUUUUGGGAGAUGUUGGGACCAAGUAAAAUACUUGCAAUUAAUCUGAGUGUGCUGAAAGAUAUGCCCAGUUUUUGAGAGAAUGCAUGCCUGAAGUUCACUCAGCAGCAUGUUAUUUGUUUUCCUUCCACGUGGAUAACUUGGUUAGAUUUUUGCUCCAGGAUAUUAGGUGCAUGAAAUAUUGAUCAAGGAUGUGAACCAGAUGUUGUGAACCAGGUGUGUCCUAUAUGUUAUAUAACACUUCUUAAAUCAACUAAAAUACUUAUUUUCACUACCCGACUUGAGCUCUUCAAAGAACAAAGUACUUCUUAAACUAUUGUUAGAAGCAUUUAUGUUCUUUAUAACUUUCUAAUGAAGGGUAAGGCUAUCUUCUUUUUUAUUUCACCAUUUUAAGGUAGAAGAGGCUGAUGCACAUGUGCACCAUUUAAAGUCAGUAGAUCAAUUUGAUCAUUUCUAUAUUUUCAAAGUUGCAUCAUCUACAUGUUCACAGAGUUUACUAAGUUCCGUACAUAGUAGAUGUGUAUUCUAUGUAAACAGAGGCCAUAUAAAUCUAAGUUUUGUCGAUCUCAUGGCUCCACCUUUUGGGAAUCCCUCGCUGUUUGAACUAAGCCAAGAUUUAUGUGCACAAGUAUGAAUCUGUGGCGCAGUGGUAGCGCGUCUGACUCCAUGUCAGAAGGUUGCGUGUUCGAAUCACGCCAGGUUGUGUUUACUGUCAUACUACUUUAGUUUUAUGGUAUUACAGCUUUUGGUUGAACCAUACAAGUUCGUGAUGAAUAUUCUGCAGGAUUAUUAUUUUAGGUUUCGUGAAUGUAUAUUCUCUUUGUUUGUAGGUGUCUCACAACUUCACAGAAUUAUUUUCCUAAACACUCAGAUUACCAAUGACUCCAUGGACACCAUCCACGUCUAGGUUCCGACCAAUUAACACACCAGUGCAUAUGAAUAAAUCCAACUUGCUGAAAUUACAUGAUUUAGAAUUUGUAGUGAUAGUUGGUUUCAUGACCACUAUCACCAGACCUGUUAUGAUGGAAUGUAAGUAAACCCGAAUUAUCUUUUUGAUUCCCUUUGAUGCCUCUAAACUACUAGCAGUUAUCAUUUCCUAUAGACUUGAUGGUGCUGUCACAAGGCUCUAUCUUCUUAUACGUUGUAUAAAUAACAACACGUCGUUACUCUUACCCUUCAAUCUACAGAGAGGGAACAAGAAUGAAUGAGCUGAGAAAGCCAGGGAUGGUGAGUUUUCGCAUCUUUGUAAAAGCCAAUUUGCACUUUAAAUUGGAGGAGGAGAGCAUUCUGAGACUGCAGAAUUUCAAUCUAAUUCAUUUUAAUCGGGAAACCAAAUUUGUCCUGUCAGGUUCCUUCUCUUCUUUCAUCUUCAAAUUUUACACUUCAAGAAAGUUCGCGUAUUUUCAGUUUAAGAAUCUUCCAUCCCUAUAUAUGAUUGGUAUUCUUCUUCGUCUUCAUCUUCACAGGUUUGUAUGGUUCCUCAGGACCCUAAAAUACUUGCUGAAUAUAA